GGGCGAUUAGCUCAGUUGGUAGAGCGUCUCGUUUACACCGAGAAUGUCGGCGGUUCGAGUCCGUCAUCGCCCA
rfam:Devosia soli strain GH2-10 NODE_23, whole genome shotgun sequence.